GGCUGCUGUCGCCCCUUAAUAGCUUCAAUGCUCUUCCUUUGUCCAAACGGCCCCUCUAAACCCAAUAUCUUCAACGGGGAAAGAUGCUAAAUCUGGACACCAACUAGCAUUCACAAUCCUCAAAGAUGGCAUCACUUGUUGUACGACUUGCCAGUCCAUUUCCAACUCUGAGAGAGAUUCCAGCAACAACGCCUCAAUUUUCCACACUGUGUUAUUCUCCCCCCAAAAGCUUUGAUGAAUUUUUGCAAGAUUUCCUGAAGAGAUUGAAAGAUAUCUUAACAUAGGAAGUGAGAAGGGAUUGAGCCAGACAGGACUCAUCUUGCCUGGAAAAUAUUUGAGAGAGAGCUCAUGGAGGGAAGGUGGAGGAUAGAGUCUAUCAAGUUUGUCAAUGAGGUCAAUGCCAUGACUAUCAAAGCAACUUAUAGUGAGGAGUUGAAGUUCUUGGAGGUUUA
rnacentral:misc_RNA from 1 species